rnacentral:rRNA from 1 species
UACAGAGGGGGCUAGCGUUGUUCGGAAUUACUGGGCGUAAAGGGCGCGUAGGUGGCCUGUUAAGUCGAACGUGAAAUCCCCGGGCUCAACCCGGGAACUGCGUCCGAGACUGGCAGGCUCGAAUCCGGGAGAGGGAUGUGGAAUUCCAGGUGUAGCGGUGAAAUGCGUAGAUAUCUGGAGGAACACCGGUGGCGAAGGCGGCUCUCUGGACCGAUACUGACGCUGAGGCGCGAAAGCGUGGGGAGCAAACAGG